rnacentral:pre_miRNA from 1 species
CCAGCCACGUCCCCUUGUCACUUCUCCAGCCGGCUGUGCCAGUGCUGGACGGAGAACUGAUAAGGGCAGGUGACUGC